rnacentral:rRNA from 1 species
ACCAUUUAAAGAGUGCGUAAUAGCUCACUGGUCGAGAGACGCUGCGCCGAAAAUGUCCGGGGCUCAAGCACGGAACCGAAGCUAUGGCAUGACAGCAAUGUCAUGGGUAGGGGAGCGUUCUUACAGGGAAGAAGCAUUACCGUAAGGAGAUGUGGACAUGUAAGAAGUGAGAAUGCCGGUAUGAGUAUCGAAAAGAAAGGUGAGAAUCCUUUCCACCGAAAGCCCGAGGGUUCCUGAGCAACGAUCGUCGACUCAGGGUAAGUCGGGACCUAAGCCGAGGCGGAGACGCGUAGGCGAUGGACAACAGGUUGAAAUUCCUGUACCGGAUAAGACCGUUUGAACGAUGGAGCGACGCAGGAGGGCACAUGAUCGCGCGGCUGGAAGAGCGCGUCCAAGUGCGUAUGCGGGUAAGGAGGCAAAUCCCCUUACCCGGAAGCAGAGACAUGAUGGGGAGUUAAAGGCGACUUUGACGAACUCAUGGAUCCCACACUGCCAAGAAAAACUCCUGGUGAGGGCUUAUCCGCCCGUACCGUAAACCGACACAGGUAGGCGGGGAGAGAAUCCUAAGGUGCGCGGGAAAACCCUCGUUAAGGAACUCGGCAAAUUGCAUCCGUAACUUCGGGAGAAGGAUGACCCUGAGUAGGCGAAAGGGAGAAACCCCCGGAACAGAAAAGGGUGGCAGAAAAGAGGCCCAAGCAACUGUUUACCAAAAACACAGGUGCCUGCGAAAGCGAAAGCUGAAGUAUAGGUGCUGACGCCUGCCCGGUGCUGGAAGGUUAAGGAGAGAGGUUAGCGCAAGCGAAGCUUUGAACUGAAGCCCCAGUGAACGGCGGCCGUAACUAUAACGGUCCUAAGGUAGCGAAAUUCCUUGUCGGGUAAGUUCCGACCCGCACGAAAGGUGUAACGAUUUGGGCACUGUCUCAACGAGGGACCCGGUGAAAUUGAAAUACCUGUGAAGAUGCAGGUUACCCGCGACUGGACAGAAAGACCCCAUGGAGCUUCACUGCAGCUUGAGAUUGAAUCCCGGUGAUACAUGCACAGGAUAGGUGGGAGGCUUUGAAGGAUGAUCUUCGGAUUAUCCUGAGCCGCUGUUGGGAUACCACCCUUGUGUUGCUGAGAUUCUAACGCGGAGAGUAACGACCUCGCGGACCAUCUCAGGCAGGCGGUUUGACUGGGGCGGUCGCCUCCUAAAGUGUAACGGAGGCGCCCAAAGGUUCCCUCAGGCCGGACAGAAACCGGCCGAAGAGUGCAAAGGCAGAAGGGAGCUUGACUGCGAGACCCACAAGUCGAGCAGAGACGAAAGUCGGGCUUAGUGAUCCGGUGGUUCUGAGUGGAAAGGCCAUCGCUCAACGGAUAAAAGCUACCCUGGGGAUAACAGGCUAAUCUCUCCCAAGAGUUCAUAUCGACGGGGAGGUUUGGCACCUCGAUGUCGGCUCAUCACAUCCUGGAGCUGGAGUAGGUUCCAAGGGUUGGGCUGUUCGCCCAUUAAAGUGGUACGCGAGCUGGGUUCAAAACGUCGUGAGACAGUUUGGUUCAUAUCCAUCGCGGGCGCAAGAAGUUUGAGGGAGGCUGCUCCUAGUACGAGAGGACCGGAGUGGACGGAUCAACGGUGUACCAGUUGUCACGCCAGUGGCACGGCUGGAAAGCCGCAUCCGGAAAGGAUAAACGCUGAAAGCAUCUAAGCGUGAAGCCCGUCCCAAGAUGAGACUUCU